rnacentral:lncRNA from 1 species
UUGAUUCACUUAAUUUGGAGGGACCUGCGAGCGAGAAAGAGAGAGGAGAGCGCGAGAGCGAGAGAAAGGCGAGGGCGCGAUAGAGGGCGAGAGCGAGCUGUGCUGUGUGAGAAACAGAGAGAGUGUGAGAGGUGCGAGAGAGAGAGGGUUAGUAGGGUUUGCUUUUGCCCAUAAAAAAUGGGUGUGGGCUUAUAACCAACUUUAGCAUAGAUUAAAUAUCAGCCGUUGGAUCUUUAUGGUGUAGGAUAUACUCCCACCCAUAGGUGUCCUGGUAGACUUUCUCCUAUCGAGCUAUGCUACUGGUACAGCCCGAUUGGGUUGUACAUUCACAACUUUUAGAUCUAAAGGCUGAAAUUAAUUUGAUUUAGAAAAAAAGAUAAAAAGUGUUAAGUUCAUUCCCCUUUUUUGUCUCUCACACUUUCCCUCUUUGUUUUUUAUACCUCACACUUUCCCUCUUUGUUUUUUGUUUUUUACACUUUCGCUCUUUGUUGCUUCUGUGGCCUGCUAGUGAGAGAAAGAGAGGACAGCUCGAGCGAGAGAGAGGCGAGGGCGCAUGAGAAAGCGAGAGUGAGCUGUGCUGUGCGUGAAAUAGAGAGAGAGGGAGAGACAGAGAAAGCGAGCACGAAGCCGGAUUCUACCAAGAAACUGGAUUCUUCCAGCACCCUCAUCUUUUCCUCGUUUCUACUUUCUCUCUCCUUCUUUUCUUCCAUCAUUCUCCAAUUUUUCGACGAACUCAUGUCGUGCGGCCAUCCUAACGGUCUCUUCCUCCACUUUCGGCUGGAGUUGUAAAUCUGCGAUGCUCAGCCCUAUUCGCGCGUUCUCCCUACACGAAGCGAGAAGUGAGUAAAUUGUAAUUUUUUUCCUUUAAUUUGAAUGCAUUUUCUCAUUUAAGCUAAUUAAGAAGUCAUUGCUUCAUUUGAACUCAUUGUUCACUUAAUUUAGAAGGACCUGUGCGUGAGAGAGAGAGGAGGGCGUGAGAGCGAGAGAGAGGCGAAGGCGCGAUAGAGAGCGAGAGCGAGCUUUGCUGUCGGAGAAACAGAGAGAGUGCGAGAGGUGCGAGAGAGAGAGGGUUAGUAGGGUUUGCUUUUGCACAUAAAAAAUGGGAGUGGGCUUAUAACCCACUUUAGUAGAGAUUAAAUAUCAGCCGUUGGAUCUUUAUGGUGUAGGAUAUACUCCCACCCAUAGGUGUCCUAGUAGACUUUCUCCUAUCGAGCUAUGCUACUGGUACAACCCCAUGUGGAUUUUACAUCCGACAACUUUUAGAUCUAAAGGCUGAAAUUAAUUUGAUUUAAAAAAAAAAGACAAAAAGUGUUAAGUUCACUCCCCUUUUUUGUCUCUCACAGUUUCCCUCUUUGUUUUUGUCCCUCGCACUUUCCCUAUUUGUUUUUUGUCCCUUACGCUUUCGCUCUUUGUUGCUUCUGUAGCCUGCGAGCGAGAGAAAGAGAGGAGAGCGCGAGCGAGAGAGAGGUGAGGGCGCAUGAGAGAGCGAGAGUGAGCUGUAUUGUGCGAGAAACAGAGAGAGAGGGAGAGACAGAGAAAGAGAGCACGAAGCCGGAUUCUAGCAUAAAACUGGAUUCUACUAGCACCCUCCUCUUUUCCUCGUUUCUACUUUCUCUCUCCUUUUUUUCUUCCAUCAUUCUCCCAUUUUUCGGCGAACUCAUGUCGUGCGGCCAUCCUAACAGUCUAUUCCUCCAUUUUUGGCUGGAGUUGUAAAGCUGCGAUGCUUAGCCCUAUUCGCGCGUUCUCCCUACACGAAGCCAGAAGUGAGUAAAUUGUAAUUUUUUUCCUUUAAUUUGAACGCAUUUUCUCAUUGAAGCUAAUUAAGAAGUCAUUGCUUCAUUUGAAUUCAUUGUUCACUUAAUUUGGAAGGACUUGCGAGCGAGAGAGAGAGGAAGGCGUGAGAGCGAGAGAGAGGCGAGGGCGCGAUAGAGAGCGAGAGCGAGCUUUGCUGUGGGAGAAACAGAGAGAGUGCGAGAGUUGCGAGAGAGAGGGGGUUAGUAGGGUUUACUUUUGCACAUAAAAAAAGGGAGUGAGUUAUAACCCAAUGUAGUAGAGAUUAAAUAUCAGCCAUUGGAUCUUUAUGGUGUAGAAUAUACUUCCACCCUAGGGUAUACUGGUAGACUUUCUCCUAUCGAGCUAUGCUACUGGUACAACCCCAUGUGGGUUGUACAUCCGACAACUUUUAGAUCUAAAGGCUGAAAUUAAUUUGAUUUAGAAAAAAAGAUAAAAAGUGUUAAGUUCACUCCUCUCCGUCUCUACUUUCUCUCUCCUUCUCUUCUUCCAUCAUUCUCCCAUUUUUCGACGAACUUAUGUCGUGCGGCCAUCCUGACGGUCUCUUCCUCUAUUUUCGGCUGGAGUUGUAAAGCUGCAAUACUUAGCCCAAUCUGCGUGUACGCCCCUGUCACGCUCCCGCCCCGAGGCCGCUACCGAUUCGGCACGGUUUGGGCGCGGCGGGCGGACCGCCGAACGGACAGCACCUCCCCUGUCCGCCCAAGGCUCAACAACGAGAUCAUGUACAACAAGUCCCCAGGAAAUCAACUUGAAUACAUACAUGAUCAUGCAACAACAGCGAGAGCACAAACAGUGCUGAACAUUACAAGAGCAAGCGUCACGAGUAGUAAACAUACAAGUGAAACAAAAGAGAGAUACUUAAUUAUUCUAUUACAACCAUUCAACUUGAUACAUUUAAUUACAACUUAGCUUUACAAAUAAUGUACCCCAAAACCACACGGGGUGAGAACUAUAUAACUAUAGUUCCCACUGGGUUCGGCCGCCGACUCCGCCGAUCUUCCCACUAGGUCUAAGCUGGCACAGAUAGAUAGAUAGAAAGAUAUAUGGAAAUAAACUGCUACUAUAUCUACUAUGCCAUCAAUGUAAAAGAUGCAUGGAACAUCAUCUAGCAACAAUCUACUAUCAUGCUAAUAUGCCUCAACAGUGAAAUGAAUACAACUAUAACAUAGUUAUGCAAUGCACUAUGUCUAUUCAUAGUAUGAAUGCAAUCCUCUUAUGCUAUUCAUGUUAUUACCCAAUCUGCUAGGCUAACUCGCCUAAGAUCUCAAAUCCAGGAGGUGAAGAGCUACCCCGCUCUUUUCCCGCCUAACUCAUAACUCAAAGGUCCUAGACAAAGAGCUACCCCGCUCCUUGCCCGACUCAUAUCUCGUAGGUCCGACCCAAUCUCGAAGGUCCUAGGCAAAGAGCUACCCCGCUCCUCACCCGACACACAUCUCGACGGUCCAACUCAAUCUCGACUAGGUACAGGCUACCUCGCUCAAAUCUCAUAGGUGAAAGAAUAGUAUGUCCACUCACUGUAUGUAGGCAAAUCCACUACUGAGGAGAACUUAGUAAUGUAUUGGCUAUUGCAUUGAAAACUUUAAACUGUCAUUGAUCAAGUUGCAUAUUAUGAUGUUGCAUAUAGGGUGUUUAGAAACUUGUAUCUAUAGUUGCAUGCUAGUGUUAAUGUAGCUUGGUAGAUAUAACAUUUGAAUCUAGUAUGCAUGAGGUUAGUAUGUGCACCUUAACCCUAUAUGAGAUGAUAUGUGACGGAUUGGAACCUAGGCAAAUGAUAACCUAGUGUUUGUGUUGUGUGAACGAAGAACCUAGUAAAGUGNGCCCCUCACGAAACCAGCCGUGAGUAAAUUGUAAUAUUUUUCUUUAAUUUGAACGCAUUUUGUCAUUUGAGCUAAUUAAGAAGUCAUUGCUUCAUUUGAACUCAUUUAUUCACUUAAUUUGGAGGGACCUGCGAGCGCGAGAAAGAGAGGAGAGCGCGAGAAAGAGAGAGAGGCGUGGGCGCGAUAGAGGGCGAGAGCGAGCUGUGCUGUGCAAGAAAUAGAGAGAGUGCGAGAGGUGCGAGAGAGAGAUGGUUAGUAGGGUUUGCUUUUGCACAUAAAAAAUGGGAGUGGGCUUAUAACCAACUUUAAUACAGAUUAAAUAUCAGCCGUUGGAUCUUUAUGGUGUAGGAUAUACUCAUAGCCAUGGGUGUGGUGGUAGACUUUCUCCUAUCGAGCUAUGCUAGUGGUACAACCCCAUGUGGGUUGUACAUCCGACAACUUUUAGAUCUAAAGGCUGAAAUUAAUUUGAUUUAGAAAAAAUAUAAAAAGUGUUAAGUUCACUCCCCUUUUUUGUCUCUCACACUUUCCCUCUUUGUUUUUUGUCCUUCACACUUUCACUCUUUAUUUUUUAUCACUUACGCUUUCGCUCUUUGUUGCUUCUGUGGCCUGCGAGCGAGAGAAAGAGAGAAGAGCGCGAGCGAGAGAGAGGCGAGGGCGCAUGAGAGAGUGAGAGUGAGCUGUGUUGUGCGAGAAUAGAGAGAGAGGGAGAGACAGAGAAAGAGAGCACGAAGCCGGAUUCUACCAAGAAACUGGAUUCUACCAGCACCCUCCUCUUUUCCUCAUUUCUACUUUCUCUCUUCUUCUUUUCUUCCAUCAUUCUCCCAUUUUUUGGCGAACUCAUGUCGUGCGGCCAUCCGAACGGUCUCUUCCUCCAUUUUCAGCUGGAGUUGUAAAGUUGCGAUGCUUAGCCUUAUUCGCGCGUUCUCCUUACACGAAGCUAGAAGUGAGUAAAUUGUAAUUUUUUUCCUUUAAUUUGAACGCAUUUUGUUAUUUAAGCUAAUUAAUAAGUCAUUGCUUCAUUUGAACUCAUUGUUCACUUAAUUUGGAAGGACCUGCGAAUGAGAGAGAGAGGAGGGCGCGAGAGCGAGAGAGAGGCGAGGGCGCGAUAGAGAGCGAGAGCGAGCUUUGCUGUGGGAGAAACAGGAGAGUGCCAGAGGUGCGAGAGAGAGAGGGUUAGUAGGGUUUGCUUUUGCACAUAGAAAAUAGGAGUGAGCUUAUAACCCACCGUAGUAGAGAUUAAAUAUCAGCCGUUGGAUCUUUAUUGUGUAGGAUAUACUUCCACCCAAGGGUGUCCUGGUAGACUUUCUCCUAUCGAGCUAUGCUACUGGUACAACCCCAUGUACAUCCGACAACUUUUAGAUCUAAAGGCUGAAAUUAAUUUGAUUUAGAAAAAAAGAUAAAAUGUGUUAAGUUCACUCCCCUUUUUUGUCUCUCACAGUUUCCCUCUUUGUUUUUUGUCCCUCACACGUUCCCUCUUUGUUUUUGUCCCUCACGCUGUCGCUCUUUGUUGCUUUUGUAGCCUGCGAGCGAGAGAGAUAGAGAAGAGCGCAAGCGAGAGAGAGGCGAGGGGGCGAGAGAGAGCGAGAGCGAGCUGUGCUGUGCGAGAAACAGAGAGAGAGAGCGAGAGACAGAGAAAGAGAUCACGAAGCCGGAUUCUAACAAGAAACUGGAUUCUACCAGCUCCUUCCUCUUUUCUCCGUCUCUACUUUCUCUCUCAUUCUCUUCUUCUAUCAUUCUCUCAUUUUUCGGCAAACUCAUGUCGUGCGGCCAUCCUGACGGUCUCUUCCUCCAUUUUCGGCUGGAGUUGUAAAGCUGCGAUACUUAGCCCAAUCCGCGUGUACGCCCCACACGAAACCAGUCGUGAGUAAAUUGUAAUUUUUUUCUUUAAUUUGAACGUAUUUUGUCAUUUGAGCUAAUUAAGAAGUUAUUGCUUCAUUUGAACUCAUUGAUUCACUUAAUUUGGAGGGACCUGCGAGCGAGAGAGAGAGGAGAGCGCGAGAGCAAGAGAGAGGCGAGGGCGCGAUAGAGGGCGAGAGCGAGCUGUGCUGUGCGAGAAACAGAGAGAGUGCGGGAGGUGCGAGAGAGAGAGGUUUAGUAGGGUUUGCAUUUGCACAUAAAAAAUGGGAGUGAGCUUAUAACCCACUGUAGUAGAGAUUAAAUAUCAGC